rnacentral:rRNA from 1 species
GGCCCAGACAGCCAGGAUGUUGGCUUAGAAGCAGCCAUCAUUUAAAGAAAGCGUAAUAGCUCACUGGUCGAGUCGGCCUGCGCGGAAGAUGUAACGGGGCUAAACCAUGCACCGAAGCUGCGGCAGCGAACGUAUCACUUAAAGCGAUUCAGCGGGUUACGAUUGACGGAGCGAAGCGACGUCAAAGCGUAUACAAAGUCGAGUCGGUUUAAGGAUACGUUCGUUGGGUAGGGGAGCGUUCUGUAAGCCUGUGAAGGUGGCCUGUGAGGGUUGCUGGAGGUAUCAGAAGUGCGAAUGCUGACAUAAGUAACGAUAAAGCGGGUGAAAAGCCCGCUCGCCGGAAGACCAAGGGUUCCUGUCCAACGUUAAUCGGGGCAGG